UCGUGUCGUGAGAUGUUGGGUUAAGUCCCGCAACGAGCGCAACCCUUGCCUUUAGUUGCCAGCAGUUCGGCUGGGCACUCUAAAAGGGACUGCCGGUGUUAAACCGGGAGGAAGGUGGGGGAUGACGUCAAGUCCUCAUGGCCUUUAUGACCAGGGCUACACACGUACUACAAUGGCCGAUACAAAGGGCAGCGACAUUGCGAGGUGAAGCCAAUCCCGUAAAAUCGGUCUCAGUCCGGAUUGGAGUCUGCAACUCGACUCCAUGAAGUUGGAAUCGCUAGUAAUCGUGGAUCAGCAUGCCACGGUGAAUACGUUCCCGGGCCUU
rnacentral:rRNA from 1 species